AACAAAGCACCCCUCUUCAAUCAAAAAGGCCAAUUCGUGCUCGGCUUCUCGAAGAACGAAGGAUAAAGAUGGUAAUUUGCCCAUGCUUCACAGAACCGGCCAAAAACCACAUGCAGGCAUCCGUCUAGAAGUUUUGGAGAAGACAGAAGUCUUACCAUCUCUGUCUGACCUAUUCAAGAUGACUCACGCCACAUCCGACGGAGUUUUUGUGGAUCCGGCAUCUGAGAAACUCGCUCAAGCAGUGGCUACUCGGAUUGAAGAACUGGAGACUCAACUAACUCAGGAGUCUCCCGAUGGAUUACCCGUCACAUUGUCCACCGAAGAAGCCGACAGAAUCUUCGAAGAGGUACAACUUAAAAUUUUUGUUACAUUAUUUUUAAUAUUUUAACAUAAUUAACUAUAUUAAUAUAUGUUUUAAUUUUAUAGCUGGCUCCUAGAAAGAAGGGACAAAUAGUUGGUAUAGGUUCUGUUAACGAAGUUGCAAGGGCAACUUCGUCAUACACUUCGAGACGGGAUGAAGAGACUUCUCAGAUGAAAGCUCGAAUGGAUAGCCAGCAGGUUUGUUUAGACUCUCUUGAGGAUUUGCUAGACGUGAUGGCCGUGGGAAACCCGGUUAUGCAGAGAAUGUUGAGUCAGAGACGAGCCGCUCUUGGGUUGCCAGUACGAGAUCCCCAAGAGUCCGAUCCAACCCGUCAACAGCCGAGCAGCCCCACCGACUACUUCGAUGAUAUGUAGUUUUUUUAAUAUUUCGGUGUGUAUUAUGAAUUUAAAUAUUAUGACUUUUAAAUGCUUUUUUAAAAUAUGUUUUUUAUUUUCAUAUUUCGUUUUAAAAUUAAAAUUAUUUAUAAUUCUGAAUUUAAAAUAAAUUCAAAUUUAUAUAUUUGAGAUUAAAAACAAUAUUCAAAAUAUAUUAUAAAACGAAACGUCGAUGUAGGCUCGACGUAAACAUUUACGACUGAUUACCGUCGAAAAUAUUUACGAGGCUUUUACAUCGAAACCAUUACGUAGAGUUUACAUCGAAAGUUUAUGAGGGUGUUACAUCGAAAUGUUUACGUGUUUGUUACAACGAAAUUGUUUACGUCUGCUUUACAUCGAAUCUAUUACGUGGAGUUUACCACGAAGUCUUACGUCUCGUUUACGACGAAUCUAUGCUCUGCGCUUUACGAGGAAUAUAUUUCGUCGUAAACUUAACAAGUCAUUUACGACGAAACGUCGGUUACGACGGACGUUUUACGAUGAAACGUGUUUCGAGGUUAAUUCGUCGUAACACCCCGUUUACGACGAAGUUACAACGUAUAUAGCCCUCGUAAAAAAUAUGUUUUCUUGUAGUGUUCAAUUAAUCAUGUGUUAAGACUUAAGAGAAAAAAAUUUAUGUCAGUAUGCAGGCUGUUUUUGUAAGACAAGUGGAAAACUAAAGUACAAUAAUAACAUACUUUUUUUUUUUGCAAAAGGCUUAACAAUAAUAACAUACUUGUCCAGCCCAAUAAUAAUUAAUUGUUUUCAAAGCUAGAGAAAAUGUCCAAGUAGUUGCUUCCAAGAAAUGAAUUAAACAGCUCACUUGUUUCCGUUAAUGCCUUAUCGUGCAAUUUUUUUUUUUUUUGGUGCAAAUAAAACACAUAAAGAAGAGACGUUCCCGAAACAUGUUCCGUACGGCUUUCUCAAAUCUCAUGCAAUAAUUGAUUAAUUUCUUACGUCUUUUCCAUAAUUUGAAGUUUUAAUAUUACCAACUAUAGAAAAUAAACCACUUCCCCUAUAUAUUAAUUGAGGAACAUUUGAAAACAUGUAACCUCAAUUUUGUAUUAAUUAAAAAAGAUCCCAUGCUGAUUUGUCAAUCAAUUAAGAUGUCUAAUUAUCUUACGUGGCAGCUUUAUAUUCAAUUGGAAAAAAGUAAGUCCAAAAAUCGAUUGUGUAUAUUCACUAGGGAAAUAUGAUAGUAACUAUACUUUCUUGGAAUAAAAUAAUAGUCCAUCCGUAGAAGUCAGUUAAAUUCUCUUAUUAGCUUAGUGAGAAAGUAUAGACCAAGUAAUAAAUAAAUACACGUGAUAUACAAGUUGAUUUUGAAUCUGUAUUUGGUAAUAUACAAUUCAUUUAUAUUAAAUAAAAAAUUUACUACUUACUGUAUUUGUGCCAAAGUAUAUGUGAUUCCAAAUAUAUAUAGUUAUAACUAUAUCUUAACGGUUGACAAAAAAAACUAUAUCUUAACAUAUAGGAAAAAAUAACUAUAUUUAUAGCAAAUAUAAAAAAAUAUUCCAAAGAUAUUAAUUCAUUGAAUAAACUCUAUCAGACAUUAUGUAUUAAGUUUGGGACUUUGAAAGAUGAAUCUAUGUUUUGAAACUUAUUUUAGGUUUAAUUAUAAAAUACAAAAAAACCUUUUGAUUAUAUUACGUACAAUUUAGUACAAGAAACAUGUUUUCAAACUAUCUACAAUUUAGUAAUUUGAAUUAAGGAUGUUCAAUUCGUUAAAAACCGUAACAACUAAAACUAAACCAAACCGAAAUAAAAUAGGUGGUUUGAUUUGAUAACAUCGUAUACACCGAAUAUGUUAUUUUUUUAAAAACUGCGGUAUAUGAAUAUGGUUCAGUAUAUAAACCAAUCAAACCAUAUAUAUCGAAUAAAUUGAUUAAUUAAAAUAUAGUAGUAUACUUAUAUGUAAAUUACAUAAUAUAAUUAUAUAUAUGUAGUUUAUUUUAUUGAUAUGAUCUUAAGACGUUAAUUUAAAUAAUUGGUUAUUUUAAACUAAAGGCUUUCAUUGACAUAUAUUUGUGUAAAAAUUAGUAUAUUUUAAUAAUCUUUUUACUUUUCAUCCCAUGAAUCUUUAAUAAUUAUAAUUUAACAGUUAAAUAAAAUAGAAAAAACAUCCUGUUUAAGAAUUAGAGUACAUUAUAAUAAACUUUAUUUUUAAUCAUACAAAAUUAAAUUGACAAAAUGGUAUAAAUGAUAUAUAUAGUAUAUAGUUUAAGUUUUUAUGUAUAAAAUGAAUAAA